AGCGAACGCUGACGGCAGGCCUAACACAUGCAAGUCGAACGAACUCUUCGGAGUUAGUGGCGGACGGGUGAGUAACACGUGGGAACGUGCCUUUAGGUUCGGAAUAACUCAGGGAAACUUGAGCUAAUACCGGAUGUGCCCUUCGGGGGAAAGAUUUAUCGCCUUUAGAGCGGCCCGCGUCUGAUUAGCUAGUUGGUGAGGUAAAGGCUCACCAAGGCGACGAUCAGUAGCUGGUCUGAGAGGAUGAUCAGCCACAUUGGGACUGAGACACGGCCCAAACUCCUACGGGAGGCAGCAGUGGGGAAUCUUGCGCAAUGGGCGAAAGCCUGACGCAGCCAUGCCGCGUGAAUGAUGAAGGUCUUAGGAUUGUAAAAUUCUUUCACCGGGGACGAUAAUGACGGUACCCGGAGAAGAAGCCCCGGCUAACUUCGUG
rnacentral:rRNA from 1 species